rnacentral:rRNA from 1 species
GACGAACGCUGGCGGCGUGCUUAACACAUGCAAGUCGAGCGGUAAGGCCCUUUCGGGGGUACACGAGCGGCGAACGGGUGAGUAACACGUGGGUGACCUGCCCUUAGCUCUGGGAUAAGCCUGGGAAACUGGGUCUAAUACCGGAUAUGACUCCAUGACGCAUGUUGUGGGGUGAAAGCCUUGUGCGGCUAGGGAUGGGCCCGCGGCCUAUCAGCUUGUUGGUGGGGUNAUGGCCCACCAAGGCGACGACGGUAGCCGGCCUGAGAGGGCGACCGGCCACACUGGGACUGAGACACGGCCCAGACUCCUACGGGAGGCAGCAGGUGGGGAAUCCUGCGCAAUGGGCGAAAGCCUGACGCAGCGACGCCGCGGUGGGGAUGACGGCC